rnacentral:rRNA from 1 species
GAUGAACGCUGGCGGCGUGCCUAAUACAUGCAAGUCGAGCGAACAGAUGAGGAUCUUGCUCCUCUGACGUUAGCGGCGGACGGGUGAGUAACACGUGGAUAACCUACCUAUAAGACUGGUAUAACUUCGGGAAACCGGAGCUAAUACCGGAUAAUAUAUUGAACCGCAUGGUUCAAUAGUGAAAGACGGUUUUGCUGUCACUUAUAGAUGGAUCCGCGCCGCAUUAGCUAGUUGUUAAGGUAACGGCUUACCAAGGCAACGAUGCGUAGCCGACCUGAGAGGGUGAUCGGCCACACUGGAACUGAGACACGGUCCAGACUCCUACGGGAGGCAGCAGUAGGGAAUCUUACGCAAUGGGCGAAAGCCUGACGGAGCAACGCCGCGUGAGUGAUGAAGGUCUUCGGAUCGUAAAACUCUGUUAUUAGGGAAGAACAAAUGUGUAAGUAAAUAUGCACGUCUUGACGGUACCUAAUCAGAAAGCCACGGCUAACUACGUG